CACCACUCAAGCCUCGCUUGGUAUUGGGCAACGCGGUCCGCCGCGUGCCUCAAAUCGACCGGCUGGGUCUUCUGUCCCCUAAGCGUUGUGGAAACUAUUCGCUAAAGGGUGUUCGGGAGGCUACGCCGUAAAACAACCCCAUUUCUAAGG
rnacentral:misc_RNA from 1 species